CCUACGGGGGGCAGCAGUCGAGAAUCAUUCACAAUGAGGGAAACCCUGAUGGUGCGACGCCGCGUGGGGGAAUGAAGGUCUUCGGAUUGUAAACCCCUGUCAUGUGGGAGCAAAUUAAAAAGAUAGUACCACAAGAGAAAGAGACGGCUAACUCUGGGCCAGCAGCCGCGGUAAUACAGAGGUCUCAAGCGUUGUUCGGAAUCACUGGGCGUAAAGCGUGCGUAGGCUGUUUCGUAAGUCGUGUGUGAAAGGCGCGGGCUCAACCCGCGGACGGCAUAUGAUACUGCGAGACUAGAGUAAGGGAGGGGGAACCGGAAUUCGCGGUGGAGCAGUGAAAUGCGUAGAUAUAGAGAGGAACACUCGGGGCGAAGGCGGGUUCCUGGACAUUAACUGACGCUGAGGCACGAAGGCCAGGGGAGCGAAAGGGAUUAGAUACCCGGGUAGUC
rnacentral:rRNA from 1 species